rnacentral:RNase_P_RNA from 1 species
GUAAAUCAGGCAGUCGCGGGCGAGCGCCGAAAGGCUCCGUCCGAGGAAAGUCCGGGCUUCACAGAGCGAGGAUAACGGCUAACAGCCGCCGGGGGCGACCCCAGGGAAAGUGCAACAGAAAUAAACCGCCGCUUUCAAAUGCUUUUUGCGAGGAAUGAAUGACUUCAUGCAUUCUUGAUGUUAACGUUUUCGCUUGGGCUUGUGACGCUGCAUUUGAACAGAGGCAAGGAUGGAAAGGCGAGGUAAGAGCUCACCGGGGCGACGGAGACGCCGCUGCCGUGUAAACCCUAUCCGAAGCAACACCGCGGAGGGACAAUAAGCCUGCUCGGCUGUCCCGUGGAGGUGGCACCGAGCCGCCGCGGCAACGCGCGGCCAAGAUAGAUGACUGCCGAAUACAGAACCCGGCUUACAGAUUUACUCG